ensembl:snRNA U1 U1 spliceosomal RNA
AUACUUACCUGGCAUGGGAGACACCAUGAUCACGAAGGUGGUUUUCCCAGGGCGAGGCUUAUCCAUUGCACUCCGGAUGUGCUGACCCCUGCGAUUUCCCCAAAUGUGGGAAACUCGACUGCAUAAUUUGUGGUAGUGGGGGACUGCCUUCGCGCUCUCCCCUG